ensembl:lncRNA
UGGCUAUCAUGCUUGGAGAAGCUUUCCUUCAUGUUCUGAACUGCACAGAAGACACCACAGAUCAUGAUGGACACGUUCGCACACACUUACCCACCCCCACGGUCCGUCCUGACCCCUGCACGACAAACGCCACUGCCAGAUCACCACUGACACCACGAACUGUGAGAGUUGGCAUGCCUGAAGGCCUGGAAAAGCCAGGACAGUGCCGAGCUUCUGCACCCAGCAAUGCUAUGCCCAUUCUCAGCUGUAGCGGGGAGGAUCACUUGGGCAUGAAUCUGUAUUGCUCCUGGUGCUGUCCCAGCUUCUGCAAGAACUAUCCGGACCUCCGGCUUGCAGGUGAUCGGCUUGAGCACUGCAGUCCUCAUAACCCAGACCUGCUCAACCCACUGGAUGACGGGCCACUGCUGCAAUCUCAGGACCUGAGCUCUCUGGAACCCUCUCUGGAACCAGGUCAACAGGCAGAGGCUGCGACCCAGCAGGAUGAGGAGUAUCUUGUCAUGGAGAGCGUUCAGGGGCUUGGCUGGGAGAGAAGGCUCACUAACUCCAUGUUGAACGGCUAUCUGGAAGUCCAAAUGCUGGAGGUGUUUUGUCAGCACAUGCAAAACAUGGCAUGCUACGGAUCAUCAUUGCUGGGCACUGACGUCAUGCCGGCACUGGUGCCCACCAUCCUGACUGUAGCCAAAGAACAGACAGCCAGUCAUGUAGAAGAGCUGGAUUCUUCAUCCAAAAACGUUGUGCAAUAUUUAAGCACUUGUUCAGCUCCAGCAACCUCCCAUUUCAGCUCACCUGUGCUGCGUAUCUCAGAAGCUGAGUAACCAACCUCAUCAACACACACAGCUCCUGCCCUCAUAACCUUUUUUUUUUGUUGGGCAGGAGACAGGAGUCUUUUGACCAAUACACAAAUAUUUAAAGUUAUCUGUGUUUUUUAGAAUUUUUUGUAUGCAAUACUGAUUGCAUUUGUGGCAUGUUGAAAAAAAAAACACUUUUAAAGCAAAAAAAUUAAUUUCAGUAAAUAAUUCCAAAAAGUACAAAAGGCAAGGCAAUGAACAUUAACAUACACAAUGUUUCAAAGUAUAGCCAUAUGAUUAAAAUAAAUAUAUGUGUUAGCAUGAGACA